UACGUAGGCAGCGAGCGUUGUUCGGAAUUACUGGGCGUAAAGAGUGUGUAGGCGGUGCUCUAAGUUCGGUGUGAAAUCUCCCGGCUUAACUGGGAGGGUGCGCCGGAAACUGGAGUGCUCGAACGUGGGAGAGGAAAGCGGAAUUCCUGGUGUAGCGGUGAAAUGCGUAGAUAUCAGGAGGAACACCGAUGGCGAAGGCAGGUCUCUGGGCUGACACUGACGCUCAUGCACGAAAGCGUGGGGAGCAAACAGG
rnacentral:rRNA from 1 species